rnacentral:rRNA from 1 species
CACGUAGGGGGCGAGCGUUGUCCGGAUUUAUUGGGCGUAAAGAGCUCGUAGGCGGCUUUGCAAGUCGGGUGUGAAAUCCCCAGGCUUAACCUGGGAACUGCAUUCGAGACUGCAUCGCUAGAGUAUGGGAGAGGGAAGUGGAAUUUCCGGUGUAGCGGUGAAAUGCGUAGAUAUCGGAAGGAACAUCAGUGGCGAAAGCGGCAUCCUGGACCGACAUUGACGCUGAUGAGCGAAAGCUAGGGGAGCAAACGGG